rnacentral:rRNA from 1 species
AUGGAGAUUGGCAGCGGCGGCUGCGGCGGCGGCGACGGGAGCGGCGGAGGGGGCGGGGACGACCAGCAGCGCCACGGGCUCAAGUUCGGCAAGAAGAUCUACUUCGAGGACAGCACGGGCCCCGGCGGUGGCAGUGGCGGCGUUAAUGCGUCCUCGUCCAAGCCGCCCGCGGGCGGCGGGAGGAAGGGGAAGGCCGUGGCCGCCGGGGGAGCGUCCGGCUCCGCGCCGCCGCGGUGCCAGGUGGAGGGGUGCGGCGUGGAUCUGAGCGGCGCCAAGCAAUACCACUGCCGCCACAAGGUGUGCUCCAUGCACACCAAGGAGCCCCGCGUCGUCGUCGCCGGCCUCGAGCAGCGCUUCUGCCAGCAGUGCAGCAGGUUCCACCAGUUGCCUGAAUUCGAUCAAGGAAAACGCAGCUGCCGCAGACGCCUCGCAGGCCACAACGAACGCCGGAGGAAGGCACCCCCCGGCCCUCUCGCAACACGCUACGGGCGACUCGCUGCAUCCUUUGAAGAACCCGGCAGGUUCAGAAGCUACCUGCUGGAUUUCUCGUACCCAAGAGUUCCGAGCAGCGUGCGGGAUGCCUGGCCGGGGGCUCGACUAGGCUACCGGAUGCCUGGUGAAAUCCAGUGGCAAGGCAACCUAGACCUGCGUCCUCACACAGGUGCAGGCACGGGAUACGGCCACCACCAUGCAUACAGCAGCCACGGCGGCUUCCCCGGCCCAGAGCUCCCUCCAGGUGGGUGUCUCGCAGGGGUCGCCGCCGACUCCAGCUGUGCUCUCUCUCUUCUGUCAACUCAGCCAUGGGACAACACCCCCCACGGUGCCAGCCACGACCACCGGUCCGCGGGCUUCGAUGGCCACCCUGUGGGAGUGUCACCCUCCAUCAUGGCGAGUAACUACAUGCCGCCGCCGGCGAGCCCCUGGGGUGGCUCCCGGGGCCAUGAAGGCGGCCGGAACGCGCCGCAUCAGCAGCUGCCACAUGACGUCCAGCUCCACGAGGUGCACCACCCAGCAGGCUCUAGCCAGCACGGCCACUUCUCAGGCGAGCUCGAGCUCGCCCUGCAGGGGAACAGGCCGGCGCCUGGGCCACGCGGCGGCGAUCACGGCAGCAGUGGCGGCGCGUUCGACCACCCCGGCAGCUCGUCCAACUGGUCCCUGUAG